rnacentral:rRNA from 1 species
AGGAGAGGUCUGCGUACCAUUAGCUAGUAGGUGGGGUAAUGGCCCACCUAGGCGACGAUGGUUAGCGGGUCUGAGAGGAUGAUCCGCCACACUGGCACUGGAACACGGGCCAGACUCCUACGGGAGGCAGCAGUGAGGAAUAUUGCGCAAUGGGGGCAACCCUGACGCAGCGACGCCGCGUGAGUGAGGAAGGCCUUCGGGUCGUAAAGCUCUGUCAAGAGGAAAGAAGUGCAUGGCGGUUAAUACCCGUUGUGUUUGACGGUACCUCUAAAGGAAGCACCGGCUAACUCCGUGCCAGCAGCCGCGGUAAUACGGAGGGUGCAAGCGUUGUUCGGAAUCACUGGGCGUAAAGGGCGCGUAGGCGGCUUGAUAAGUCAGAUGUGAAAGCCCACGGCUUAACUGUGGAAGUGCAUUUGAAACUGUCAGGCUUGAGUACCAGAGGGGAAAGUGGAAUUCCCGGUGUAGAGGUGAAAUUCGUAGAUAUCGGGAGGAAUACCGGUGGCGAAGGCGACUUUCUGGCUGGAUACUGACGCUGAGGCGCGAAAGCGUGGGGAGCAAACAGGAUUAGAUACCCUGGUAGUCCACGCCGUAAACGAUAAGAACUAGAUGCAGGUGGUGUUGAUCCCAUCUGUGUCGCAGCUAACGCAUUAA